rnacentral:rRNA from 1 species
ACAUCCAGAGAAUUUAGCAGAGAUGCUUUAGUGCCCUCGGGAACUCUGAGACAGGUGCUGCAUGGCUGUCGUCAGCUCGUGUUGUGAAAUGUUGGGUUAAGUCCCGNAACGAGCGCAACCCUUAUCCUUUGUUGCCAGCACGUAAUGGUGGGAACUCAAAGGAGACUGCCGGUGAUAAACCGGAGGAAGGUGGGGAUGACGUCAAGUCAUCAUGGCCCUUACGAGUAGGGCUACACACGUGCUACAAUGGCGCAUACAAAGAGAAGCGACCUCGCGAGAGCAAGCGGACCUCAUAAAGUGCGUCGUAGUCCGGAUUGGAGUCUGCAACUCGACUCCAUGAAGUCGGAAUCGCUAGUAAUCGUAAAUCAGAAUGUUACGGUGAAUACGUUCCCGGGCCUUGUACACACCGCCCGUCACACCAUGGGAGUGGGUUGCAAAAGAAGUAGAUAGCUUAACCUUCGGGAGGGCGUUUACCACUUUGUGAUUCAUGACUGGGGUGAAGUCGUAACAAGGUAAGCGUAGUGCU